rnacentral:rRNA from 1 species
AAUGAACGCUGGCGGCAGGCCUAACACAUGCAAGUCGAGCGAGCGGCGGACGGGUGAGUAAAGUAUGGGGACUGCCCGAUAGAGGGGGAUAACUACUGGAAACGGUAGCUAAUACCGCAUACUAUCGGAUAACCCAUAUGGGAUUAGCUUGUAGGUGGGGUAAUGGCUCACCUAGGCGACGAUCCCGAGCUGGUCUGAGAGGAUGAUCAGCCACACGGGGACGGAGACACGGCCCAGACUCCUGCGGAGGCAGCAGUGGGGAAUAUUGCACAAUGGGGGAAAGCCUGAUCCAGGCAUGCCGAGUGUAUGAAGAAGGCCCUAGGGUUGUAAAGUAAUUGCAGUCGGGAGACGUUACCGACAGAAGAAGCACCGGCUAACUCCGUGCCAGCAGCCGCGGUAAUUC